UACGUAGGGGCCGAGCGUUGUCCGGAUUCAUUGGGCGUAAAGAGCUCGUAGGCGGCUGCUCAAGUCGAAUGUGAAAACUCGAGGCUCAACCUCGAGCCUGCAUUCGAUACUGGGCGGCUAGAGUCUGGUAGGGGGAUCUGGAAUUCCUGGUGUAGCGGUGGAAUGCGCAGAUAUCAGGAGGAACACCAGUGGCGAAGGCGGGAUCCUGGGCCAGUACUGACGCUGAGGAGCGAAAGCGUGGGGAGCAAACAGG
rnacentral:rRNA from 1 species